rnacentral:rRNA from 1 species
UAGGGAAUCUUCGGCAAUGGGGGGAACCCUGACCGAGCAACGCCGCGUGAGUGAAGAAGGUUUUCGGAUCGUAAAGCUCUGUUGUUAAGGAAGAACGAGUGUGAGAAUGGAAAGUUCAUACUGUGACGGUACUUAACCAGAAAGGGACGGCUAACUACGUGCCAGCAGCCGCGGUAAUACGUAGGUCCCGAGCGUUGUCCGGAUUUAUUGGGCGUAAAGCGAGCGCAGGCGGUUAGAUAAGUCUGAAGUUAAAGGCAGUGGCUCAACCAUUGUAGGCUUUGGAAACUGAUUAACUUGAGUGCAGAAGGGGAGAGUGGAAUUCCAUGUGUAGCGGUGAAAUGCGUAGAUAUAUGGAGGAACACCGGUGGCGAAAGCGGCUCUCUUGUCUGUAACUGACGCUGAGGCUCGAAAGCGUGGGGAGCGAACAGG